CCUACGGGCGGCAGCAGUGAGGAAUAUUGGUCAAUGGACGAGAGUCUGAACCAGCCAAGUAGCGUGAAGGAUGACUGCCCUAUGGGUUGUAAACUUCUUUUAUAAAGGAAUAAAACGAGGCACGUGUGCCUUUUUGCAUGUACUUUAUGAAUAAGGAUCGGCUAACUCCGUGCCAGCAGCCGCGGUAAUACGGAGGAUCCGAGCGUUAUCCGGAUUUAUUGGGGUUAAAGGGAGCGUAGAUGGGUUGUUAAGUCAGUUGUGAAAGUUUGCGGCUCAACCGUAAAAUUGCAAUUGAUACUGGCAGUCGUGAGUACAGUUGAGGUAGGCGGAAUUCGUGGUGUAGCGGUGAAAUGCUUAGAUAUCACGAAGAACCCCGAUUGCGAAGGCAGCUUACUAAACUGUGACUGACAUUGAUGCUCGAAAGUGUGGGUAUCAAACAGGAUUAGAUACCCUGGUAGUC
rnacentral:rRNA from 1 species